GUGGAUGGAUGGAUGGGUAGAUGGAUGGACUGAUUUCCAAUGAAUGACAACUUCUCUUUUCUCUAGGUUCAAAGACACCUAGGCAGACUCAGAGACAGCACAUACAGUUGUUAAGAAUUACUGUUGACAUCUGGAGGACCGGAGCUCUUCAGCAGAUCCAUUCCUGCGUUUAUGUUGAACCUGACUGUCUUCGCUGUACAGGUACAGCAUCUUCUCCGUUAUCAAGGAGGGUAGGAUUAGAACUCUGGCCAGUGUAGUUUAAUG
rnacentral:lncRNA from 1 species